rnacentral:rRNA from 1 species
GCUGGCGGCAAGUCCNACACAUGGAAGAAAAACGGCAGCACGGGAGCAAUCCUGGUGGCGAGUGGCGAACGUUUCCGUAAUAUAUCGGAACGUGCCCAGUCGUGGGGGAUAACGCAGCGAAAGCUGUGCUAAUACCGCAUACGAUCUACGGAUGAAAGCGGGGGAUCGCAAGACCUCGCGCGAUUGGAGCGGCCGAUAUCAGAUUAGGUUGUUGGUGGGGUAAAGGCCCACCAAGCCGACGAUCUGUAGCUGGUCUGAGAGGACGACCAGCCACACUGGAACUGAGACACGGUCCAGACUCCUACGGGAGGCAGCAGUGGG